rnacentral:sRNA from 1 species
AUGGCUGGUAAGUACACGGCCAGAGUGCUGUUAACCCACAUUACUUUUAAAUGUUUUCAGCAAGCUUACAACUUUUCAAUACAUCUAUUAAAUACAGAUAAUCAGUCAUCUGGAAAGCGUAGAAGACGAAAAACAACUUCUGCUCAAGCACUUAGAGAAGCUUAUGAGAUAUUAGACAAAAGCUCAAAAAAAAAGAAAAGAAAACCUGGCUAUUAUGAAUUCAGCCAUGAUCCAGUUACUGGUGUACGCAACUGUAAAAACACCUACUCAAGUGUCAAAUAUGAACAAGGAAAAAGAUCUGCUCAGAAAAAACAAGCACAUACAAGCUCUGAUUAUUCAGAAGAUGUACAAGAUGAUAAUGGAGCUUCUGAACUUCCUAGUUGUGAUACUUGGAAAGGUGAANUGGGAAGUGCCCUAUCAGAGGCAAAGGAAGUUCUUGAAAAAUGGAGCUAUGGCAAGCCAAAUUUAAAGAAGUCCUCUCAGUCAUGGGGAAAAAGAAUUGACUUGUCUAAUGAAAGCUGGGAGACAUCCAGAUCCACCAUAAUUGAGAGCUUGCUCAAAUAUAAAUAUGCUGUCUCACAAACUUACUGCCAAGUGUGUAAGAAUGCACCAGCUGUCAUUAAAUGUGAAGAUUGUGGGACAGAUAAACACCUGUGUGCCACCUGUGAUGUCAGUGUUCACCAGUUGCAAUCCCUCCAUGACAGACUAGGUGUAAUUGAUGNACACUAUAAAGCCAUUCCACCAACAGUAGCAUUCAAUACUGCAUGUGACAAAUUAAUCAACAUUGAACGACCUCUGCCUUGUGGUGACAUCUUUUGUCCUGACUGCAACAUCAUUUGCCAUCCUGUUACUGAUAGAGAAAAGACUAGUAAUGCAAUUUUCGUUUCUCUAAAAGGGAGGUUUGAUGUCAUGCAUAUCAUGUUUGAGUGUGAAGANUGCAAGAANAAGUUUUCUAGUUNCUCUCUGGAGGUCAUUGUUCAGCUGGGCUACUGGCCAGGUGAANUGGGAAGUGCCCUAUCAGAGGCAAAGGAAGUUCUUGAAAAAUGGAGCUAUGGCAAGCCAAAUUUAAAGAAGUCCUCUCAGUCAUGGGGAAAAAGAAUUGACUUGUCUAAUGAAAGCUGGGAGACAUCCAGAUCCACCAUAAUUGAGAGCUUGCUCAAAUAUAAAUAUGCUGUCUCACAAACUUACUGCCAAGUGUGUAAGAAUGCACCAGCUGUCAUUAAAUGUGAAGAUUGUGGGACAGAUAAACACCUGUGUGCCACCUGUGAUGUCAGUGUUCACCAGUUGCAAUCCCUCCAUGACAGACUAGGUGUAAUUGAUGGACACUAUAAAGCCAUUCCACCAACAGUAGCAUUCAAUACUGCAUGUGACAAAUUAAUCAACAUUGAACGACCUCUGCCUUGUGGUGACAUCUUUUGUCCUGACUGCAACAUCAUUUGCCAUCCUGUUACUGAUAGAGAAAAGACUAGUAAUGCAAUUUUCGUUUCUCUAAAAGGGAGGUUUGAUGUCAUGCAUAUCAUGUUUGAGUGUGAAGANUGCAAGAANAAGUUUUCUAGUUNCUCUCUGGAGGUCAUUGUUCAGCUGGGCUACUGGCCAGGUAGCAUCAAAAAUAUUAACUAUAUUUUUGAUANAAAUUUGUUUUUGCUUUGGCAUGAAAUAAAAAGCCUGGUCCCUGGCAUAUCUGAAAGCUCAUUUCUAAAAUCCCUGGAGCAAUUUUCAAAACAUCAUGGACGGAUUGCAACAAUAAACAAAACAGCAUUCAAUGUAGCUUUUAAAGAGUGGAAAUUCUGCCAAUAUGAAUUAAACCAGCUGAGAAUGUUCAAUUGGAUGGACUGUCCUGCUUGCAAUGAAAAGCAACACUCUGUACAUGUAGAUGGCAACAUGAAAUUGUACAGAUUUAAAUCAGCAAGAACACGAAAGAGAGAUACCUACUACAAUGAUGUUUUCAUUGCCCCUAAUGAAAAAGUGGAUGAACAUAUAAAUGCAGUUUACAAAGGUUCUAAAGGAAGUAUUGCCCAGAGUGAGAAGGAUUGCAAGUGUGGGGAUACUAAUUGGAGGGCAGCAGGAAAUACCCUUCAAAAAAAGAAAAAUCUUGUCGAAACUGGCCUUGAAAUCGCUGGUUGUAGACAUGCAUUAGCCCAAAAGUCAGUAAAUAUGUUCCAUGGGGAAAUAUAUGGCUAUGCACAUUAUAUGCAAGUCAAUUACUUCAUCCCUAAAAACAUUGAUUUCUUUUGGUAUGACGUUGUCUGCAAGUAUUGGCCAUGGCUAGAGAAACAUGAUAAAGCUAACCAUCCAAAGAUGAAGCCAGCCCUUUCAGUGUUUCAUGCAAAAGCCCAUUCUUGGUCUUGUCAGUCUCUGUGGGGAGGCAGAUGGCAGGAAGGAGCUUGUGGCACUACUGGAGAAGAGGUAGAGCUGAUUAAUAGCCAUUUUUCACGACUUGGGUCGACAACAAAGCAUAUGCUGCCAGAAGGGCGUGAAGAACUACUCACUGAGCAUGCUUUGGAGUGGAAUAAAAGAAAGAUUGAAAAUUUGGCUCACGCUCUUUCAACUCGCUAUAAAAAGACUGCAAAGCAGCUCCAAAAUGCAAAGAAUGAGGUAGACCAGAAAAUUCUGGAACUUGGUGUGCGUUUUUCUUCUGUCGAUAAACUGCAAUGGAAGAAGGAUGUGCUUGAUGUUGCAAAAGAGUCACAAGACUUAUUAUACAGGAGGAAUCUGAAGCUAACCUCGGAUGAAGAGACAUUCCUGUCUUACCUUCUUACCUUGGAUCCUCUUCCCGACAAGCAGAAAAAACUUUUGCUUGUUGCAGAAAAGAUGCACGGGGCAAGGAUCUCGAAAUUAACCCCAGAGUCUGCAACCAACAUUUCAUCCGGAGAAACACAGUUAAAAAACAAGGGCUUGUUAUAUUGUCAGAAGUCGGUUGAGAAUUCAUAUCAUGCAAUCACACAGAUGACAUUAAACAUGAAUAAGCUGGCAGACUCUUCUAAACAGCGAAAAGCCUUACGGAAUAAGAUCUCUAAAGAGAAGGUCAAGCUCAAAGAAAUGACUGAAUUGCUCAACGGUAUUUCUGAUGAGCCAUUGCUACAUGAAGAUGUCGAGAAUGGAUGCUUCUAUUGGCAACAAAUGAGUGGAGAGGCUUCAAAUCAGAUUCCCAUUCGCACAAGGCGUUUAGUUGUGGAUAAGUUCAUGGAUGUUGACAGGUUCGAGGAAGNGUACUAUUGGACUCAUACCGUUAUUACCGGUCAUUAAACGUGUCAGAGAUUUUACAUUCUACAUCUCCCAAGAAAUUCCCAUUCGCACAAGGCGUUUAGUUGUGGAUAAGUUCAUGGAUGUUGACAGGUUCGAGGAAGAGCUUGCACAAAUUCAAAAGGAGAUGCUAAGCUAUAUCAAGUUCUACACAAAUGGUGUUCUGACUAUUCUAAGAAAGCAGCUCAUGGAAUUCGACGCAAUAUCAAAUAUGACAACAAAAGGUGAAGCUUCAGGCGAAAAUUCAUCAAUUCAAAGCACGAACCGAUAUACGACUCCAUCUAUAGACAAAGGCGUGCUAGAAGGCAAGAAAGCUUUGACAAUGGCAGGAGUCCACUUUGCCAUGGACCAAAUAAAGGCGGGAAUAACUGCAUUUGCCCCUAUAUUACCAUUGAAUUGGAAUGCCCUGUACGAAUUGCCUGUUAUUUCGCAAUCCGAAGGAGGCUGCGAUGAAGCAGAGGACCGAGAUGAUGAUGACGACCUUGAUGAUGAUGACGAACCUGAUGAUGACGAAGGCCCUGAUAACGCAUUUGAUGUUGAAGAAAACGAUGGAGAAGCCCAACCAGCAGAGGAUCCAGUACUCAAUUCAGUUAUGCAUGCAAAUCGCAUUGCAUGCCAGGUUUCUGACAGUCCAGCCCCUGGUGUAUGUUGCUGGAGAUUUCCAGGUGCUUGUAGCCAGGGUAGUUACAAGGGACGCAAUGGUAGCAAUGCUUGUAGUGUUAUUGCUCUUCUUUUGGGAUACAUUAUCCGCAAAAAGAAUGUUCUCAUUCCAUCAAGCUCCACACAACCAAUCCAGCUGCCAGAUGAAAUGAUAGAUGCUGUCUGUGGGUGUAUUGAACUUGGCAAUGAUAUUUAUGACAUGUGCCGGGAAAGCCUACCCUCGAGAUACCUGUCGAUAGAAGAAGCUGCCACGGUGCUGCAAUCAUGGUAUCCAUGUGCGCUAUACGAUCCGCUACCAGUUCGAAAAACCGACGAACAUGACAUGUCUACCAUUACUGCGCAGCUAACAGGAGCAGUUCUU